UGUGCUUGUUGGCAUUUGUUCUGUCAGG
rnacentral:piRNA from 1 species